rnacentral:tRNA from 1 species
CGGAAUGUAGCGCAGUUGGUAGCGCACCUGGUUUGGGACCAGGGGGUCGCGGGUUCGAGUCCCGCCAUUCCGA